AUGGUGCUGGGGCAGGCCCAGACUCCCACCCUGACAGCAGGCCCGUUUCCAAAAACUCUGCUCACUUCCUCAUCCUGCUGGCUCGUGAGAAGAUCCUGUUGUCAGCUCUGCCAACCAGCACAGCAGAGGUGGGAUUGUUGCGGGCAGUUGGAAGAGAGCAGGGGAAUAACCGUUUCCCGCUUUGGCUGUUAUUUGUUGAGAAAUGCUGUCUGGUGAGUGUUGAGUCAGGGCCUGAAGCACUGAUGGAGCAUCUGGGGAAAGGACCCAGUCAGCCCUGGGAGCCCAGGUGAGGGCAGUUCAGUUGUAUGAUGGAAUGAGUGGAGCCUGGCUGCCCCUCUCUUAGACCUCACUGAAGGGCUGACCCUGCACUGGGCCAGGAUCUCUGGUUGGAGAUCCCUCCCUUGUGGAGUUUUCCCUGUGAGCCUGGAUCUUCAGGGACAGACGUCCUCUGCCCCUUCCCACCUGUAAAGCAAACAAGGCGAUGACAGAGCCUUGAUUUGAGAUAGAGGAGCUAUAGAACAGGAUAUCAAAGAAAGAGGAAUCGACUCAUCCCUCCCAGCUACAAUUUGGCAGAAAGUGGUGAGCUGAGGAAUGCAGCCUUCUGCGUUUGAACUGCGGUGUGCUGAAAGGUGAGAGGGGGCUGAGGGGUGGGGGGGGAGAGCUGUGCAGACUGACUGUGUGUGUGCUGCUGGGAGCACUGCUGAGAUGGAGAGAGAGGAAGGCUCCCCCGCUCGAGGUACUCGUGUGCUCACGCAGUGGUUCAGGCUGUGACCUGGCAAUUCCACUGCACCACCCGUCCUGCACUGUCCAUGUGCCACCUGCAGGUGUUGCCCAGCUUUUGGGGGACUUGCUGUGACCUCCCUGUCUCAGCACUGCCUUGUGCUCUGGACUUCACAGCACCUUGAUGGUGACAUUGUGCUUCCCAAGGAGUGCGUGGACCUUUCUGAUGGGAGUGAGCAGCAAGGAACCGACUGAAUCACAGAAUCAUGGAAUCACAAGGUUGGAAAUGACCUGUAAGAGUCUCAGCUAUAGAGGUCUUAUAAGGGUCUCAGCUUCCUUCCUGCCCUGUGCUUGACUGAGGGACCCUGCAACCAGCUCACGAGGUGGCCAUGGGCCCAGCUCUGCCAGCUUUCACUGCAAAAGGGAGCAGUUCAGGGAUAGACACAGCCUGGGUGGGUCUGAGCUUGACUCUAGCAUCUGAGGGAGCUGUGGACAUCAGCUGUGGACACGACUCAUCGAGGUGUGGGUCAGCUGUGGAUGCUCAGUGUUCUUAAGCAGCCCAGCUGUAUCUCCAAGGCUUGUAGUCACAAUUUCUCUGCGAGGCUGAGAUACCCUGAGGAUCAUGGCGUCUCUCAUUUUGCUCUCCUGCCCUUGCUCACAGUCUCUGAGGAACGACUUGAGCCCUGUGACCACGUCCUUGCUCGUGUGCUGGAGUCACUUUUGUGCAUUUUGGUGUCAGAGCUCUUGGGGCAAAACGUGCCUGGACACUGCCACACGUGUAAUGCCUUUCUGCGGUGCACACUGGAGGAUGUUUUGGAUGCUGCUCUCCAGCACCCCUUUCGGAGCAGCCAGUGUGCUUCCCAUGGAUGCUUGCUGCUGCCCUGAGCCCUUUAUAACCUCAGUAGCCCCUGCUAUAAGGCAGCAUACUUGAGAACUAA